GCUGAGACACGACGUCGAGCAUCUACGGAUGUGAAGUCAUUGAUGCCAUGCUUCCAGGAAAAGCCUCUAAGCUUCAGAUUGUAAGGAAUCGUACCCCAAACCGACACAGGUGGUCGGGUAGAGAAUACCAAGGCGCUUGAGAGAACUCGGGUGAAGGAACUAGGCAAAAUGGUACCGUAACUUCGGGAGAAGGUACGCUCUCGACGGUGAAGUCCCUCGCGGAUGGAGCUAUUGAGAG
rnacentral:rRNA from 1 species